UCAAAAAUUUUAAACUUUUGCAUUUAAAUUUUAUCUUAAUCCAACAUCGAGGUCGCAAACUCUUUUUCUUAUUUGUACUAAAAAAAAAAAUUACGCUGUUAUCCCUAAGGUAAUUGAUUCUUUUAAUCAUAAAUUAUGGAUCAUAAUUUCAUAAAUUAAUGUUAAAUUUUUAAAAAAAGUUUUUUUAAUUUUUCUAUCACCCCAAUAAAAUAAUUAAUUAAUUUUAAAUUAAAAUUAUAUAUAAAAUUUUUAAAUUAAAUAACUAUAAAACUCUAUAGGGUCUUCUCGUCUUUUAUAAUUAUUUUAGCUUUUUAACUAAAAAAUUAAAUUUUAUUUUUAAAAAAGAGACAGUUCAUAUUUCAUCAAAUCAUUCAUACAAGUCUUCAAUUAAAAGACUAUUGAUUAUGCUACCUUUGUACAGUCAAUAUACUGCAGCCCUU
rnacentral:rRNA from 1 species